CCUACGGGCGGCUGCAGUGGGGAAUAUUGGACAAUGGGCGAAAGCCCGAUCCAGCCAUGCCGCGUGUGUGAAGAAGGCCUUCGGGUUGUAAAGCACUUUCAGUGGGGAAGAAAGCCUUGGGGCUAAUACCCUCGAGGAAGGACAUCACCCACAGAAGAAGCACCGGCUAACUCCGUGCCAGCAGCCGCGGUAAUACGGAGGGUGCGAGCGUUAAUCGGAAUUACUGGGCGUAAAGCGCGCGUAGGCGGUCUGAUAAGCCGGUUGUGAAAGCCCCGGGCUCAACCUGGGAACGGCAUCCGGAACUGUCAGGCUAGAGUGCAGGAGAGGAAGGUAGAAUUCCCGGUGUAGCGGUGAAAUGCGUAGAGAUCGGGAGGAAUACCAGUGGCGAAGGCGGCCUUCUGGACUGACACUGACGCUGAGGUGCGAAAGCGUGGGUAGCAAACAGGAUUAGAUACCCCGGUAGUC
rnacentral:rRNA from 1 species